AUUGAACGCUGGCGGCAGGCCUAACACAUGCAAGUCGAGCGGAUGAAGGGAGCUUGCUCCUGGAUUCAGCGGCGGACGGGUGAGUAAUGCCUAGGAAUCUGCCUGGUAGUGGGGGAUAACGUCCGGAAACGGGCGCUAAUACCGCAUACGUCCUGAGGGAGAAAGUGGGGGAUCUUCGGACCUCACGCUAUCAGAUGAGCCUAGGUCGGAUUAGCUAGUUGGUGGGGUAAAGGCCUACCAAGGCGACGAUCCGUAACUGGUCUGAGAGGAUGAUCAGUCACACUGGAACUGAGACACGGUCCAGACUCCUACGGGAGGCAGCAGUGGGGAAUAUUGGACAAUGGGCGAAAGCCUGAUCCCGCCAUCCCGCGUGUGUGAAGAAGGUCUUCGGAUUGUAAAGCACUUUAAGUUGGGAGGAAGGGCAGUAAGUUAAUACCUUGCUGUUUUGACGUUACCAACAGAAUAAGCACCGGCUAACUUCGUG
rnacentral:rRNA from 1 species